GCUCUUGUUGUGCAGGGAAUAACUCCUAUCAGCAGCAAGGUCCCGACUGAAGUAGCAGCUGCAGUUGUUCCUGUGGUGUGGGCCAGUGGACUUGCAGGAGAGUGGAAGAGGGCAGAAGCUGUAGGACGUGAAUGCAAGAACCUGCCAAGAAACCAAUGGCCAAGAUGACUGAUUAGUGCAGAACCUGAGAGAACCACCACGAAUGACAACCUCGAGCAGUUUGCAGUAUUGGAUUUAAAAGAUGGCCUUUGCUGCAUCUCCUGGAGCAAGGAAAGCCAAGAAACCUUUGCUUUUGAAGGAGAAAAUCUGCAAAGUGGGAAGGAA